UGGGGAAUAUUGCACAAUGGGGGAAACCCUGAUGCAGCGACGCCGCGUGAACGAAGAAGGUAUUCGUAUCGUAAAGUUCUGUCCUAUGGGAAGAUAAUGACAGUACCAUAGAAGAAAGCUCCGGCUAAAUACGUGCCAGCAGCCGCGGUAAUACGUAUGGAGCGAGCGUUGUCCGGAAUUAUUGGGCGUAAAGGGUACGCAGGCGGUUUAAUAAGUCGAAUGUUAAAGAUCGGGGCUCAACCCCGUAAAGCAUUGGAAACUGAUAAACUUGAGUAGUGGAGAGGAAAGUGGAAUUCCUAGUGUAGUGGUGAAAUACGUAGAUAUUCGGAGGAAUACCAGUAGCGAAGGCGACUUUCUGGACACAAACUGACGCUGAGGUACGAAAGCGUGGGGAGCAAACAGG
rnacentral:rRNA from 1 species